AAGCUACCCCGGGGAUAACAGGCUUAUCUCCCCCAAGAGUCCACAUCGACGGGGAGGUUUGGCACCUCGAUGUCGGCUCAUCGCAUCCUGGGGCUGUAGUCGGUCCCAAGGGUUGGGCUGUUCGCCCAUUAAAGCGGUACGCGAGCUGGGUUCAGAACGUCGUGAGACAGUUCGGUCCCUAUCCGUCGCGGGCGCAGGAAAUUUGAGAGGAGCUGUCCUUAGUACGAGAGGACCGGGAUGGACACACCGCUGGUGUACCAGUUGUUCCGCCAGGAGCAUCGCUGGGUAGCUAUGUGUGGAAGGGAUAAACGCUGAAAGCAUCUAAGCGUGAAGCCCCCCUCGAGAUGAGAUUUCCCAUCACUUUAUGUGAGUAAGACCCCUGAGAGACGAUCAGGUUGAUAGGUUCGGAGUGGAAGUACAGCAAUGUAUGGAGCGGACGAAUACUAAUAGGUCGAGGACUUAACC
rnacentral:rRNA from 1 species